CGUGCUCUCUUUUUCCACGAAAUUCUAUCUAUAAAUAACCCACACCUGUGCACACUUUAUCCCGCAAAAACCCUAACCAAUCCCGCCGCCAGGCUGACGAUUUUGCUCGCCGGAGUCCGUCUCUGCCGUCGCCGUAUUUCUCUCGAUUCCGACGAGUAUUCAAGGUUUUUCUGCCCCCGUUUGGUCCCUAUUUGAUCAGCUUGUUCUUGCGCAUCUUCUCCACUUCUUUUUCGUUUUCUUUUUCCUCGCAGCGUAGCGCUGACGCCGAAGAAAUCUGAGGUUGCCGCAGCCUUGGCAACUCCGUCCGAAGAACGCCGGCAACUCAGGGCCUCCGAGGCAACGCCCUGUAUGCAGUCGACCCCUUCAUCUUCGUCCGCUUCACGUCGACCUCGCCACCACCGCCGACGACCACUAGAACGACGGGAACUAUCACCUCGACUGGAUCACACCGGAGCAGCACCACCUCCGGCCGUCCUCGUCGUUGUUACACGGAAGAGAUCGAGACCGCCGGCCUCAACACCGAGCUCUGCGCGAAGAGCUGGUUCCCGUGGACAUUUUCCCUGAGCCAGGACACCACCGGAGAGGGGACAUGGACCGCGCGCGAUCACGCCAGUGUCUCCUUCGUCAACAUUUGUACGGAGAGAUACGAGUUUUGAUUGAGAGAAGUGCAGAAUUCUCCAGAUACCAAAAAGGCAAGUGUCACACACUGUUCUAUCCUAUUAUUUUUGUAUGCACAUUGUAGUUAUUUUCAGUAGCUAUGUAUGUGUAGGAGUUUUUCAAAUUAUAUAUUGCUAUGCCAAUAAACCUAUCUAGGAUAGCCAUAUGAUUUCAUGCUUUAUUCUUUGUCGCCACCGUACUGUAGUAUGCUUAGCGUUGCUAUUGUAGAUGCGUGGCUGGGAUUUCAUGAUGUGAUAUGUGGUAUGGUGAAAGUAUUGUUUUAUGUAAUAAAACAACCUAAGAUAAUGAAUCAUCUGGGUGGAAGUGGUUUGCUUGGUUUAUGUUGAGUGGUUACAACGGAGUCAUGUCUAUGGCGGUCGUGUGUAUCACACUUGUGGAUGGCCACCCAGAAACAAAGAGAUUUGACAGGUUUCUUGUUUAGUAGCUUCCGUGUACAGCCGCAUGUCAUAUGGGCUCUGGCUUGACUAAGUAGGUUGUAGGAACCCGACCUGACGUGACUAGAAGAUGUAGAUGUGUAGGUUGGCAUGGGUCCGUCCAGAUGGCUCGGGGUACUACUUCUGAAAACGGUCUCGACUUAGUCUUUUCCCGACCAUUUGAGCAAAUUGAGCAUCAUGGUAAAAGGGGAUGACUAGGUCAUGUGGGUAAAGUGUACAAUCCUCUCGAGAGUGUCAAACUAAGUAUUUAGCCGUGUCCCCGGUUACGGACAACUAUGAGCAACUAGGCAUGUUACUGUUUGGAAGAUCUCAUCAUUCCAAUUUCUUAAUAAAAUUUGAUGGGGCAAACAAUGGGUUUAGGAGCAUGCAAAGCUAGGUUGUCUUGUGUUUACAUGGGCCUAUGCUAGCAUGUCCGUAGAUGUUUAGGAGCAUAUGAAGCUAACUGUCUUGCGACGGCAUGGGUUAUGCUAAUAUGUUCCUAGACGAUGAUCUUUAAAGAAUAAAAAAAUGUUUGUAAAGGAUAGGGAAACUAUUGCUUUUCGCAAAAGAGCCUAAACUCCACCUGCCAAAUGAGCACGUAGUUGUUAGGCGCCAUUUAUAUAUCCACCAAAUAGUGACAUUUGCCAAUACAAUUCCAAAUGUAUUGACCCUGCGUGGCUGCAACGUUUUAUGUUACAGAUAUUUUGAUGAACGAGUCAGGUUCGAUGGUUAGGGUUACGAGUCUAUACUCGACAUGCUCGCCUGUGGCACAUGAAGACGAAGGACUCCAUGCUGAUAUGUUUCGUUGUAAACUCUGAUAUAAUGCUAGCUUCGGGCUAUGCAAUUUGUAAUGUUACUUUGUAAUUACUGGAUCAUGCGAUGUAAUAAAGACCUUUGUUUCUUGGUAUUACAUCUUAAACUGUGUGUGCUAGCGAUUGAUCCAGGGACUAGCACUACUAUGCACAGAGAUUCAACCCGUACCGGGUCGGAUCGUUACAGAUGGUAUCAGAGCAUUGUGUUGACUGUAGGUUCGUGACCCUAGGUUUGGAAUAGUAAUUGGAUGACCUUAGGAUGAAAAAUCUAUUUAGUCCAGUUUUUAUUAAAAAGAUCAUGCAUUUUGAACUUCUUGUAUUCUCAUCUAUUUCACCUUCGAAAGAAUUUCCUCUUACCUUAGAUGGCCUAACUCUUGAAAUCCAUCAAGGAAGGACUAAUGAUGACCAUGUCCCUUAAGUGUGAAGACCGAUGCUUCAUAUGUUAUUAUUCGACUCAGCAUGGUGCAACUUCAUGGAAGGCCAACGAAGAACUUGGAGAAUACCUCGAUGCAUCCUUGACAACCCCAAAGAUACAUCAUAACAGUAGAAGAAGUUGUAGCAUUGAAUCCAGAAAUAGAAUAGACCACCACUUAUUACACCAACGAUAUUGCAAUAGCGUUAUGAUCAUACUAACUUGUGGUAUGACCAUACUAGAUUUUUUGUGUGUGUUUGAACUAGUUUGCUUGAUGUGAUGAAUGCUUGUUAGAUCUUGUUUGUAUGAUGAAUUGCCUUGAUCUGUCGGUUUAAGGGUAGGAAUCUUCUUUA